rnacentral:miRNA from 1 species
GGUCUCGCUGUGCAGUUCAGGCAGGCCUUGCACUCACUUUGUAGCCCAGGCUGGCCUCAAACUCACAAUGAUCCUGCCUCAGCCUCCUGAGUGCUGGGAUUACAGGCAUGUGCCACCAUUCCCAG